rnacentral:pre_miRNA from 1 species
AAUGGAAUUGCUGGGUCAUAUGGUACAACUAUACUUCGCAUUUUGAAGAACUUCCAAACUGUUUUACAAAGUAAGUGCACCAUUUUACAUUCCCACUAGCAAU